UACGAAGGGGGCUAGCGUUGUUCGGAAUUACUGGGCGUAAAGCGCACGUAGGCGGGUCGUUAAGUCGGGGGUGAAAUCCCGGAGCUCAACUCCGGAACUGCCUUUGAUACUGGCGAUCUAGAGAUCGGAAGAGGUGAGUGGAAUUCCCAGUGUAGAGGUGAAAUUCGUAGAUAUUCGGAGGAACACCAGUGGCGAAGGCGGCUCACUGGCUCGAUACUGACGCUGAGAGACGAAGGCCAGGGGAGCAAAAAGG
rnacentral:rRNA from 1 species